GGGGCUGUCAUGGUUUCGACGUUCUGAGGAAAGUCGCUUUGUGAUACAGGCCGAGAGGGAGUCCACUCUCGUUAAUCAAGGCUCAACCAAACGUAAGUGCGAACAACAUCGUUCCUUUUGCUCGCAAGGCUGCUCCCGUAGCUGCCUAGCAUCUAACUAGAUCGCGAGCGUCUACGGUCUGACUCCGUUAAGGGCUGUGGACCAAACCCCAACGGAUGCGUCAACUAGUCUUCUCUAGUGGACUGGUUGACUAAGACUCAACUAGAGCAUCCCACCGUCAGGGAUAAUUGAUGGUUCCCGCCUUGAGGAUUAGAUAGGCUAUGCCUGUGAACGAGCGAAGUGUUACUACUCAGAGCGGACACGGGUUCGACUCCCGUCAGCUCCAUUU
rfam:Halomicronema hongdechloris C2206 genome.